rnacentral:rRNA from 1 species
UACAGAGGGGGCAAGCGUUGUUCGGAAUUACUGGGCGUAAAGGGCUCGUAGGCGGCCAACUAAGUCAGACGUGAAAUCCCUCGGCUUAACCGGGGAACUGCAUCUGAUACUGGAUGGCUUGAGUUCGGGAGAGGGAUGCGGAAUUCCAGGUGUAGCGGUGAAAUGCGUAGAUAUCUGGAGGAACACCGGUGGCGAAGGCGGCAUCCUGGACCGACGACUGACGCUGAGGAGCGAAAGCCAGGGGAGCAAAGCGGG